rnacentral:rRNA from 1 species
GACGUAGGGGGCGAGCGUUGUCCGGAUUUAUUGGGCGUAAAGCGUGCGUAGGCGGCUGCGCAAGUCGGGUGUGAAACCCCGGGGCUCAACCCCGGAACUGCAUCCGAUACUGCGUGGCUAGAGGUAGGUAGGGGAGAUCGGAAUUCCUGGUGUAGCGGUGAAAUGCGCAGAUAUCAGGAGGAACACCGGUGGCGAAGGCGGGUCUCUGGGCCGAUACUGACGCUGAGGAGCGAAAGCGUGGGGAGCAAACAGG